AAUAGUUUUUUUUUUUUUGACAGCAAACAUUUACGGAUUCAUGUUCACUCUGUAAACCAAAAUGGUAACUCUGCAUCCAUGUGUACAACAAAAGACGGUUGGUUUCUAGCACUGCGUGCUAAGCUAUCCGCCUUGAGGUUCACCGUCCGAGGAACAUGAAUGGUAUCUGAGUUGGGGAAACUUCUUCUGAGAAGCUUAAUGUCUUCCAGGUAGCUUUCAAAUGCUGACCAUUCUUCAGGUUCCGAAACCAUUUUCACCAAUUGAGAACAAUCCGUAGCAAACAUAAUCUGAAACUGUCUUAAAUUCUUCAUACGUUACAUUGCCCAUAUUAAUGCCUCUAACUCCGAAUGGACAGGGGAGAGACAUGCUCGUACAUUCCUUGCCUCUAGCAAGCUAUCAAAACCCAGGAGAGUACUACACCAGCCUUGCCCUGAGAAUAAGUCCUUAUCCUUCCAUGAACCGUC
rnacentral:lncRNA from 1 species